CAAAAUGUAGCUUAACAACAUAAAGCAUUCGGCUUACACCCGAAAGAUUUCAUCCAAUGGACAUUUUG
rnacentral:tRNA from 1 species